UCACCGUGCUGCAAUCAAGUCUGCUCACCUGCUGCUAAUCUGCAAUCAAGCCACCAACUCUGUCUGCAGUACUUAAGCCCGGCUCAGUCCUCCACUCAUCACCAGAUUGUCCAUUUACCAAGCGUGGUACUCAGAUCUCUGUUCAACUUCUUAACAACCAAACUCCAAGCUCCAGGACCACAGCCAGCCACUCACCAUCCAUAGAGUGCCCUGGAAACCUGAACUCUACCUGUUGCAAGUUUUCUCAUUAAAACCCUGUUUUCAAGACUCAA